rnacentral:rRNA from 1 species
AUUGAACGCUGGCGGCAUGCCUUACACAUGCAAGUCGAACGGUAACAGGUCUUCGGAUGCUGACGAGUGGCGAACGGGUGAGUAAUACAUCGGAACGUGCCUAGUAGUGGGGGAUAACUACUCGAAAGAGUGGCUAAUACCGCAUGAGAUCUACGGAUGAAAGCAGGGGAUCGCAAGACCUUGUGCUACUAGAGCGGCCGAUGGCAGAUUAGGGAGUUGGUGGGAUAAAAGCUUACCAAGCCGACGAUCUGUAGCUGGUCUGACAGGACGAUCAGCCACCCUGGGACUGCGACACGGCCCAGACUCCUACGGGAGGCAGCAGUGGGGAAUUUUGGACAAUGGGCGCAAGCCUGAUCCAGCAAUGCCGCGUGCAGGAUGAAGGCCUUCGGGUUGUAAACUGCUUUUGUACGGAACGAAAAGCCCUGGGUUAAUACCCUGGGGUCAUGACGGUACCGUAAGAAUAAGCACCGGCUAACUACGUGCCAGCAGCCGCCGUAAGAC